rnacentral:tRNA from 1 species
GCAUUAGCUCAGUUGGCUAGAGCGCUCGGUUUGUACCCAAGUGGCCGCAGGUUCGAGUCCUGCAUGC